AUUGCCUAAAUCCCUAAUCUAAUUGGGGUUAUUUUGACCCCAAUUAAAUCCAAUUGGGGUUAUUCGUCCAAGCCCAACAACAAAACAAUUUCAGCAAAGUAAUAUAGCCCCAGCAGCCCAAAUCCGUCACAUUCCUUUUUACCCAUUCAUCGGCCUACUCUAACAGCCCAAACCCAACCCAAUAACUUGUCUUCUUCAUAAUACCAACAAACGAUAACACACACACAUACAACAAUAUCAUCAACAACAAUAUCCAAACAACAGCGCAACCUGACCCACCGACCCGCUAUCAACGGUCACCCAGCAACGACCCAACCUGGCGACCCUGCAACACUCCAAACCAGCUGACCCAAACUUAACCGUUCUAUCAAACCAAACCCGUAACCUGUAACCCAUCAAUCCACAUGUAAAGUACAACUCAACACCAAAACAUUUCAAAAUUGUACGAGUUCGUAUGAUUUUAUAGCUCAUCACCUUAUUCUCAAGUUGAAUUUUGAAUUCCCCUUCCAAAAAUGUCAAAUUACUCUUCGAUUUUUCUAAUCCGACAUCGGUGGGAGCUCAAAAUUGAGCCCCUCAAUUCUUUUUAUACAAACCAGAUUGUAGAGCAAAUUGGACAAGUCUUGAAGGGGGGGAGGGUGAAAGAAACCUUUGAGCAAAAGUUUUUAUUUUUUAGUAAAAUUUUAUUUCGUAUAAAAAAUCAUCGAUCGUUCGAAGUUCUCGAAGUCACGAUAAAGCUUUCCAGUGGUGGUCAAGAUUUCAGAGAAGGCCCGAGUCCUGUUUUGCUGCUUCGAAACUGCCGAAAGAAAGCCCAAAGCUGGUUAAAUAGCGCAUGGAUACAAGGAGUC